rnacentral:rRNA from 2 species
AAAUUGAAGAGUUUGAUCAUGGCUCAGAUUGAACGCUGGCGGCAGGCCUAACACAUGCAAGUCGAACGGUAACAGGAAGCAGCUUGCUGCUUCGCUGACGAGUGGCGGACGGGUGAGUAAUGUCUGGGAAACUGCCUGAUGGAGGGGGAUAACUACUGGAAACGGUAGCUAAUACCGCAUAAUGUCGCAAGACCAAAGAGGGGGACCUUCGGGCCUCUUGCCAUCGGAUGUGCCCAGAUGGGAUUAGCUUGUUGGUGGGGUAACGGC